GGUUAAGUGAAUAAGGGCGCACGGUGGAUGCCUUGGCACUAGGAGCCGAUGAAGGACGGGACUAACACCGAUAUGCUUUGGGGAGCUGUAAGUAAGCUAUGAUCCAGAGAUUUCCGAAUGGGGGAACCCAAUAUCUUUUAUAGGAUAUUACUUUUCAGUGAAUACAUAGCUGAUUAGAGGUAGACGCAGAGAACUGAAACAUCUUAGUACCUGCAGGAAGAGAAAGAAAAUUCGAUUCCCUGAGUAGCGGCGAGCGAAACGGGAAGAGCCCAAACCAACAAGCUUGCUUGUUG
rnacentral:rRNA from 1 species